rnacentral:rRNA from 1 species
UACGAAAGGACAAAGAAAAUAGGACCCAUAGUUACAGCAAGUCCUCACCACCCACUAGAAACAAUAUUAAACCCACAGUACCCGAUUCCCCAAAAACAGGGC